GACGAACGCUGGCGGCGUGCUUAACACAUGCAAGUCGAACGGACAGGCCCUGCUUUUGUGGGGUGCUCGAGUGGCGAACGGGUGAGUAACACGUGAGUAACCUGCCCUUGACUUUGGGAUAACUUCAGGAAACUGGGGCUAAUACCGGAUAGGAGCUCCUGCUGCAUGGUGGGGGUUGGAAAGUUUCGGCGGUUGGGGAUGGACUCGCGGCUUAUCAGCUUGUUGGUGGGGUAGUGACUUACCAAGGCUUUGACGGGUAGCCGGCCUGAGAGGGUGACCGGCCACAUUGGGACUGAGAUAGGGCCCAGACUCGUACGGGAGGCAGCAGUGGGGAAUAUUGCACAAUGGGCGGAAGCCAGAGGCAGCAACGCCGCGUGCGGGAUGACGGCCUUCUGGGUGUAAACCGCUUUCGCCUGUGACGAAGCGUGAGUGACGGUAAUGGGUAAAGAAGCACCGGCUAACUACGUG
rnacentral:rRNA from 1 species